rnacentral:rRNA from 1 species
GACGAACGCUGGCGGCGUGCUUAACACAUGCAAGUCGAACGGAAAGGCCCUGCUUUUGUGGGGUGCUCGAGUGGCGAACGGGUGAGUAACACGUGAGUAACCUGCCCUUGACUUUGGGAUAACUUCAGGAAACUGGGGCUAAUACCGGAUAGGAGCUCCUGCUGCAUGGUGGGGGUUGGAAAGUUUCGGCGGUUGGGGAUGGACUCGCGGCUUAUCAGCUUGUUGGUGGGGUAGUGGCUUACCAAGGCUUUGACGGGUAGCCGGCCUGAGAGGGUGACCGGCCGCAUUGGGACUGAGAUACGGCCCAGACUCCUACGGGAGGCAGCAGUGGGGAAUAUGGCACAAUGGGCGGAAGCCUGAUGCAGCAACGCCGCGUGCGGGAUAACGGCCUUCGGGUUGUAAACCGCUUUCGCCUGUGACGAAGCGUGAGUGACGGUAAUGGGUAAAGAAGCACCGGCUAACUACGUG